ensembl:lncRNA
UUGCACAAAUGCACGUCUAUGGAAGCCACUGUACCAAGGCUGGGCUUUGGUCAAUCUCAUUCCUUCUUAGCUUCUGUCUUCUCCACAUAUCACUCAUGAUGGAAGUGCAAAUAUGUGAGGUCAAAACCAUUCAAUUAAAGCAGAGUUUAUAUAAAGGAAGAAGAAUCUAAUAAAGAAAUUUUGCUCUUUCCCAAACCAAGAAGAGAGAUGUCAGUUCUUCUAUUGAGGUCAGAAACCACAAGCCCCAGAUGAGCUGCCAGAAAAAAAUCCACCAUUUUGCCACAUCUCCAUCAGACAGAGUAAUCUUCACAUUUCUAAACAAGUCUGUGGGAGAGAGCCAGAAAGAAAACUGAAAAUAGAGUGAUGAGUUUGAAAUAUUGUGGCUGCAAUCCAAGCAACGGGAGACUGCAGAAAACAUUUGGUUUAUGAUUCUGAAGACGGAGUGUUGCAAAGAACACAUCACAUCACUAUUUGUAAAAACAAGUAUAUUUUUAAAAAUGCCUUCACAUAUUUUUAAAAAUACAUUCACCUUCCACAGUCUGACUGUGAAAAGCCAGACACUGAAAAAUAGACUGAUAGCCCUCAUAUUUAAACUGUGAGCACAGUUAAAAAAAGUUUUCAUGAGAUCAAACGUCCUUCAAUUUUUAUUUUUACAGUAGUAAUACCUCACAUGCUCUUCACCUAUGGUGGAAAGAAGCAUUUGAGGAAAAUGAUUUCAAGAAUAAGUUAGCCAGCUGUAUUCUCACAUUUUGACUUUGCCAUUUCAGAGUUAUUUCUGACUGUACAACUUUCAUAAUAUUACACACUUUAGAACAACAUUUGUACACAGUUUUGCAAAUUGUACUAUUUCUGUAAACAGCAAACAUUUCCUCUGAGAUACUGGUAUUAUUUCAGUUCCUUUUUUCUUUGCAACUGUAGAACAACAUAGUUAACUUCUUGCUAAGCAGCAUUCACUUUCCUAUUGUACUCAGGUUUCAAGUUUGCCAGUCAAAAGUUUAUGACUUCCAUAGUCUGCUUGAGUGUAAGUGGAUAACAGUUUUCCUGGUAAUUUUUUUCCCUCGUUACUUAACUUUUUUUUUUUUUUAAUCCAGUUCCACUAUUCAAAUAUUUCCACUGGAACAGCACAUAUUUCUUUGUUGUUUGUUAGAUUAUAUAAUUUGACCGCGUUACCAAAGUAUGUUGACUAGUUGCUCAAGGUUCAGUGUAAGAAAUCUUUGAGUCUUUAGAUGUAGUUCUCUUGCAAAUCUUCAAUUUUUCUGAUUUUUUUUUCCAAUUAAAUCACCUCUCUCUAACUUGUCUGCAGCUUUCCAGGAUCUGCAUUUGCUUUAGUAUUGCUUUUUCUGCACUCAAUCAAUCGCGUUGGCAUGUCCUUUUGGCAACAUGCCACAUGCUUUUUCUUGUCAUUUUCUAAGCUUCUUUAGUAGCUCAAAGUUGCUGGUAUAUUUCUUUUAGACUUUCUUUUUUGAAAAGAAAGAUAGCAUUUUGUUUUCUGAAAUCAGGAUUCAGUUUUCUGCCUUUCCUUUUUUUUCUGCCCAGUGGGAAAUGCACUUUACUGUCCUGCUUUUCUCAUUAUUUUAUUGCAGUACACUGAGAUCCAAAGUAUGGCCCAAUACAACUGUUUCCCUUGUUGAAUUGAUGAAAAUAUCUGCCUAAAGUAUGACUUUUUUUCUUUUUUAAAGCUGUCCAGCUUGGUCAUUGCAGUUAAGAAGUACAACAUCUAGCUUUCUGGAGCUUAUUUCCAGAUUUAA